UUCAUGGAAAUCUCCGUGGGAAACCCUCACUUUCCCCAUCAGAAAUGCCUGUCUUGGGAAAAUCUGGCACUGGAUUUAACGUCCCUUCCAACCCAAACCAUUCUGGCGUUCCAGUCAGCUAUGGAAAGCAAACUCCACGGCUCAGGAGACAGGCAAAAAACCCCAGUACAGAAAGGGGGUCACCCUAUUAUUGCCCAGCCCGUGGUGUGUCUGAUCACCUGCACUUGGGAAGGUGUUGUGAGUGCAAGCAGCCACUGCUGCUGCUUUGAAUACAGCUGGGCAGUUUUUGUUCAUGGGAAGGAGCACUUCAAGAGAGCCUCUCCUCUACAACCCCUGGAGAAGACUUAUUUCACCCUUAUCUAUCACACAUGCAGAUGCCAGGACCUAGAAGAGAAAUAACUGCUGGAUUCCUCGUUGCCUCCUUGGCCCAGGAGCCUGUGCAAGACCCCCCUCCAUCGUGAUCAUCAGAGAACUGCUCUAGGAAUGGAGCCUUUCCAGGCGUGGUGGGGUGUUGUAUGGAUGUUUUGUAUGAAACUCAGUUAAAAUCUGGAGAUAAAUUUAACUUGGAGACCUCAAUUGCUGGCACAGCAGUUGAUCAGUUCACCCUCGUGCUUUCAACUCAACAGCCUCCAGUGACCUAAUCAAGAUGUAUUUUAAAUAUAUGUUGCUGCUUCUAUGCAAUUUAGCAAAUAUAUUCCUCCUGCUCCUUUGCCUGCCUUUCCACAGACGACGUCUUAACAGCUUGAGUGAUGUUGCUUUUAUGAUGCACAAGUCAUUUUACCAAACAGCAGGAUAAAAGUUUGUUCAGGCAGGAAUUUCAUUAACUUCAGAGUCCCUGUUACACUUAGUGGCGUCAGGCUUGGCAUGUGGGAAUAAUGGGUUCCAGGGCCUGGAAUUUCUAUCGUUUUCCAUCCAGUUUAUUUAAAAAUCAUUGAAUGGAUUAUAAAAGGCUGCAAAACAAUGAGUGCACUGUUGUUUCUUACUGUUUGUUGCUGCACCCAGAUGUUUGGUGUUUCGGGUUCCCCCAGGAGAGCUUUGGGGUGCCGCAGAGGGAAAUGCAUCCUGUAAAACAAUUCCUGAAUCUUGCUUUUCUCCUCAUAAAACAGAAGGUGAAUAUUUGGGAAUGGGAUGCAGCAGCAGCAAGGUUCUGAUGGAGUUGAUGGUGCUGGUGAACGUUGGCACUGUGUGGUUUUGUCCGCCGGGCUCUGUGCAGAGCGGGAACAUCUUGCUUUGCAGGGGGGAAACUGAGGAAACCUGACAUCCCCCAGUGCCAAACCAACCCAGACCUGGGAUCGACCCUUUUUUUUCCCCAUCCCAAAGCCAGUGUUUCCUGUGUGCCUUGCACCACAUCCCCCCUGAGGGAUGCCCAUUACUCUUCGCCCCCAGCUCUGCACACGCUGUGGGAAGAAAGUGAUGGGGACCAGUGGUGUGGAGUCAUUGGCUCUGAGCCUCCCAGUGGGCUCCCACCCGUGGAAUUUACAUUAAAAAGAGACCCAUCUAAACCAGAUUUGCUCCCAGA